rnacentral:rRNA from 1 species
AUUGAACGCUGGCGGCAGGCCUAACACAUGCAAGUCGAGCGGAUGAGAUAAGCUUGCUUCUCGAUUCAGCGGCGGACGGGUGAGUAAUGACUAGGAAUCUGCAUGGUAGUGGGGGACAACGUUUCGAAAGGAACGCUAAUACCGCAUACGUUCUACGGGAGAAAGCAGGGGACCUUCGGGCCUUGCGCUAUCAGAUGAGUCUAGGUCGGAUUAGCUAGUUGGUGAGGUAAUGGCUCACCAAGGCGACGAUCCGUAACUGGUCUGAGAGGAUGAUCAGUCACACUGGAACUGAGACACGGUCCAGACUCCUACGGGAGGCAGCAGUGGGGAAUAUUGGACAAUGGGCGAAAGCCUGAUCCAGCCAUGCCGCGUGUGUGAAGAAGGUCUUCGGAUUGUAAAGCACUUUAAGUUGGGAGGAAGGGUUGUAGAUUAAUACUCUGCAAUUUUGACGUUACCGACAGAAUAAGCACCGGCUAACUCUGUGCCAGCCGCCGCCGUAACAC